UACGUAGGGGGCUAGCGUUGUCCGGAAUCAUUGGGCGUAAAGCGCGUGUAGGCGGUCCGGUAAGUCCGCUGUGAAAGUCGGGGGCUCAACCCUCGGAUGCCGGUGGAUACUGUCGGGCUUGAGUACGGAAGAGGCGAGUGGAAUUCCUGGUGUAGCGGUGAAAUGCGCAGAUAUCAGGAGGAACACCGGUGGCGAAGGCGGAUCUCUGGGCCACUACUGACGCUGAGAAGCGAAAGCAUGGGGAGCGAACAGG
rnacentral:rRNA from 1 species